rnacentral:rRNA from 1 species
CCUACGGGAGGCAGCAGUGAGGAAUAUUGGUCAAUGGACGAGAGUCUGAACCAGCCAAGUAGCGUGAAGGAUGAAUGCCCUAUGGGUGGUAAACUUCUUUUAUAUGGGAAUAAAAUGUUCCACGUGUGGGAUUUUGUAUGUACCAUAUGAAUAAGGAUAGGCUAACCCCGUGCCAGCAGACGCGGCAAUACGGAGGAUCCGAGCGUUACCCGGAUUUAUUGGGUUUAAAGGGAGCGUAGGAGGAGUGUUAAGUCAGUUGUGAAAGUUUGCGGCUCAACCGUAAAAUUGCAGUUGAUACUGGCAGGCUUGAGUACAGUAGAGGUGGGUGGAAUUCGUGGUGUAGCGGUGAAAUGCUUAGAGAUCUCGAAGAACUCCGAUUGCGAAGGCAGUUCACUGGACUGCAACUGACACUGAGGCUCGAAAGUGUGGGUAUCAAACAGGAUUAGAUACCCUUGUAGUC